rnacentral:rRNA from 1 species
UACAGAGGGUGCAAGCGUUGUUCGGAAUCAUUGGGCGUAAAGGGCGUGUAGGCGGUUUGUUAAGUCAUGUGUGAAAUCCCUCGGCUCAACCGGGGAACGACGCAUGAAACUGGCAAGCUAGAGUACCAAAGAGGGGGGUGGAAUUCCCGGUGUAGCGGUGAAAUUCGUAGAUAUCAAGCGGAACACCGGUGGCGAAGGCGGCCUUCUGGACAGUGACUGACGCUGAGACGCGAAAGCGUGGGGAGCAAACAGG